AUGGCUUUCUUGGUCCCAUUAUCCGGUUAUUCACUAGCAAGGACCACACCACCAAAAAGGAAUGGAAAUGCACCAAGAGCUAAGUGGUUGAUGGUGGCACUCCAAAUUCAGACGGUGGCGAGAGUGGGUGAGGAGGAUGGGAGAAGCCCAGCUGAUUGGAAACAUCUGGGUGAUUGUAGGGAGCACUCCCACAUCAUCCAGCGCUGGCUGAGAUUUGACAGUGCCCUCUGAAGUGACAGCUUUGACCUCGGCCAGUGUGCAUGCGUGCAGCUGCCAGAGACCGGUCUGGCUGAAAAAGAGGACAGAGCCGGGCGCUCUAGGCACUGGAUGGUACCGCUGCUUUUUGAUAGGAGCUCUGUUGACAGCCAACGUUUCAGUAGGGGUAAAAUACAACCAGCUCGCUGAUGCGUUUGGUACCAAACAAGUGACCAACAGCAACAGCUUUUCAAAAUAUUUGGGGCACAUUGUUGAGAUGCGUGCCAUAACGUGUUGUUAUAUCUGCACUAUGCAUUGCCUGCAUACAGCAUGAUCAUUGUGAGUGGAUUUCAAUGUGCCAAGUAGCUAAUUGUCAGUGAAAUAUAUAAUGUACAUUUUUUUCAUUUUUCCAUCAUAGACUUGUUAUAUUGUUUGCCAAAAAAAACUCCUAUGCACAGAGCAAAAUGCAGCUGCUUUAAAUCCAACGAUGUUCAGCAGAUGUACAUUGUUAUUCCAAACAGAUGUGUCUGAGAGAAGCAAACAAAUAGAGAGCAGACAAUGCCUUUUAGAUCUUACCUGCCUGAAACUCAGCGACAGACUGCAAAUAGUAAGAUCAUUAUGAUGGAGCAGGUUUUGCUUUUGCAAAAAAAUAUUAGUUUUCCACAAGUGUUGUUUCAAAAAUCGCAUAUUUAACAGAACAAUUACAAAGAUUUUGUUUCCUUUUUCUUUUUGCAAACACGUCAUUAGACAUUGUAGCUCAGCAUCACCACAUAACGGCAUUAAUAUUAAUGUUUAUGGUAAUGAACUUUUUUUUGAAGAGGAACACUUAUUCAUAUUUGAUUCAUUAAUGUAAUGAAUGCAAGGAAUGAUCAGAUAAUACGCUCUUGUGUCCUUGAUAUGCAAUGAGGAGUAUUAGACUGACUUAAAUUCCAGAUAGGUAUGCCUAAGCUGCAUUAAUCGACGCGAGAAUAUAGAAGCUAUAAACUCUCUGAGAAAAGGCUGCGGAAAACCUACAAUGUUAUAGAUUAAACAAAACAGAGUGAAAUGGAGUUCAUUUGCAUCACCCUCCUCUUUUCAGAGGAGCUAAACUGCUUACCAUUAUUCAAAGAUAUCUUUUAAAUAAGGCCCAAAUAUGCGGGUGAAACCAAUUUAACGAGUGGCCACCAAAGACGUUUGUCAAAUGAUCUAUAUUGAGAUUUUGACUGUGUAAGCCUCUUAUCAUAACUGCUAUAAAACACACAUCAUUCUGUUUCAGGACUGAAUUUC